UUAGUGGCGGACGGGUGAGUAACGCGUGGGUAACCUGCCUUACACAGGGGGAUAACACUUAGAAAUAGGUGCUAAAACCGCAUAAGCGCACAGCUUCGCAUGAAGCGGUGUGAAAACUCCGGUGGUGUAAGAUGGACCCGCGUCUGAUUAGCUUGUUGGCGGGGUAACGGCCUACCAAGGCGACGAUCAGUAGCCGGCCUGAGAGGGUGAACGGCCACAUUGGGACUGAGACACGGCCCAGACUCCUACGGAAGGCAGCAG
rnacentral:rRNA from 1 species